CUGAUGAACCAUAAAAACAUUGACAUCCAAUCAGAAUCCAUCCGACUUUAAAGAGCUCAAGCUUUUAAAGUGACAGACGACAAAACUGCAGAGUGCGCAUAGAAUUAACAGAACCCUAUCAUUUGCUGGAGUGGACGCUAAUAAAGUUAUCAUUUUCGUUAUCUUUAUAGUUAUCGUUCUUAGUGUGUACGGGACUUGAAGUCUUGAUCAAACGAACAUCAUGAUUUGCAGUUAUAGUCAUUCACAAUGUAAAAACAAAACAAAAAAUUCUACAGUAAAAAUAUCUUAACAUUAUUAAAACCAAGAGUAAUUACCUGUGUGCUACUUGAAGAGCAAAAUUGUAUUAGGUAACGUUUAGAGAUUAUAUCUUGAAUUGAGUUUACAUAUGGUGGUACUUUUCUUGUUUUAGGCAUAAAUCUUAUAAUUUCUUUUGAUUUAUGCUUAAAACAAGAACUAAGAAACUGUAUGUCAAUCAUGAUUUUACAAAUUGAAACCAACGCCUUAAGAUGAAGUCAGCUUGUGUUUAUGUCAAAACAAACGUGCACAGGGUCUUUUUACUGUGGGUUUAUUAUAGCUGUAAAAAUGGUUGUUGAAGAUGCCGGUGUUCAUUCUAUUCAUUCGAAUUCCAUCAUUAACUCCUUUUGUCUUCUGUUUAAAUUUUUCUGGGAACUGAAGUAGCUGAUUGCAUUUUGUUGUACAGAUUGUUGAAUCGUUUUCGCACAGUUAUCGAAUAAUGGGAAAAAAAGAUAAUAUAUUUUUAUUGACACACAAUGUAUUGUAGAAGGUACUCACAGAUUUUGAUAAUGAUCAAAUAAAUAAUGGAAAAAAAGAAA